AUAGAAUUGAAAUGUUAGAACAUGAAUGGGUCGUUGGAUUACAAUUGGAUGAGUCAUCAAAUGAAAAUGAACUUAGUGGAUAAAACCGCCACCUGUUUCUUCUCAUCUCACUAAACCAAAUGAAAAUAAUUUUAACAUUUUAAAAAGAUUCUAUUAAUUAGUUACUAAUAAACACAAUGGAUUUGUGUGUAGUUUUGAGUUAUUAACUAAAAAUUCACAUAACUGGUUCUCAUUUCCUCUAUAAAUACCUCGUUCCUCCCUCUUUACUACUCACACAUUUCUUACUGUGUUUUAGGCGUAAAAAAGGAACAAACUCAAAGAACUAUAAAAAGCAAUGAUGAGUUACUUGAACCGUGUUUGGAUGGCGGCAACUGUAGCGGUGGCGCAAAGCCACGCUGAUCCAGGCCACAAGUGCAAAACUGCUAUCAGUUCUAUUCACCGAAACAGAACUAGCCUCUUCUCCGCCGGUUCUUUGUUGGCGAUCCGGCCGUUGUCCGGCUUCCUUGCAUCGGACGUAACUGAGGCGGAAGAGAGGAUGAGACAAACCGACGAUUCUCUCCGGAAAGUUAUGUAUAUGAAUUGUUGGGGACAAGGUUAAAGCCAUUGAUCAGAACAAAACAAAACUUACGAGUGUUCAAGAAUUAGAAACCAAUGGUAACGUCAAGUUGAUUCAAAGGGUGCAAUGCAAAAGCAACCUAUGUUGUUUUUUGACUGAGGAAAAAGACAGCAGUAGAAGUCCUCUCGACAGUUUGAUACGUCUAUGAAAACAACAUCUUCUCCAUUCAACAUUCAAACAGGCGGAUUCAGGAAAAUUUGUUCCAAGAAAAAAUUAAUGGGAGAGUAUUGUUAUGAACCAAAAUAGCAUAAAGGUUGAAAAUUUGAAAUCAAGGAAACAAGGAGGUGCAAGAGAAAUUUCAAAGCUGAAAAUAUUUCUUCUAUUUUGCAUAAAUAGAACAUCGAUUGGCCAUGAUUGAUUUGAAGAAAAUCGAUGGUUUUUUUUUUGUACUUGUACUUAGGUUCUUCUUCUUUUCCUGUCUAGUAUUAUACCUUAUUUUUUGUGAAUGAAUUAUGUAUUGAAUUUGCUCUUUAGUACAAUAGUAUUUCAAUAUGCAUGAGAUAAAUAAUAUGAAACAAGUGAAACUCUUCAUUCCAUAAACAAAAUGAAAGUACAGUUAUGAAUGAGUUUCAUAUGAUCAUUUCUACUUUAUAUAUGGAAAAGGCUUUAUAAUAAAUAACCAGUUUCCAUAAAGGGUGUUUAACUAACUUGCAUUAUUGUUGUAUGAUAGCCCUCCAUAAGUUGAUAAGUUGAGGAUAGAUUGUGAUCAUGCCCAUCUUCAAUAAUAGGAUGUGGAAAGGUUGAGGAAGUAGAGGUUUAGUGAAAAAAUAUACAACUUGAAUUUUUGAAAGAAGCAACAAGAGCUUGAAAAAGGUUAUUUUGAAGUUUUUCACAGACUUGGUCCGUCGCAGUAGAGUGUUGGCGCUGCAAGGAGAAAUACCAACUAUUGAAGUUCAUAUGGAGCAGUAACUAAUGCUCGAUAUUCUUCUUUUGAGGAAGACCGUGAAAUCAAAGAUUUCUCUGAGAAGAAACACGGGCCAGAAAUAGAGUGUCGUGUGUCAAUGCAGGUAAUAUUUGUAUGCUGACAGGUUUGGAUCCGGUGAAACCUGAAUCAGACAAAGGAUCAAUGCAGUAUUUUUGUUGACACAAGGAUAUGUCUGACUUGGAAUGAGCGACUUCUAAUCCAAGAAAGUAUUUGAACUGGCCCUAGAUUUUUUAUUUGAAACUAAUUUUGAAAGACUGAUUUGAUCUUGUUAAAUUCCUCAACUGAGUUUCCAGCAAUGAUUAUGUCAUCUACAGAGACUAGGAGAAGAGUGAAGGUAUUUUUGUCUUGUUUGGUAAAAGGUGAGUGAUCUACAUGAGCUAGAACAUAAUCAUUGUGGAUGAGGGUGGAGGUGCGUUUUUCAUACCAUUUUCUGCUUUUUUUUGUUUGAGGCCAUACAUAUUUCUAUCGAGUUUACAUACUUGAUUUAGUUUGUUGAUUUUGAUUCCAAGAGGAAUGAGCAUGCAAACAUCCUCUUGUAGUUCACCAUGUAAAAAAGGCAUUAUUUAUGUAUGUGCCUGGAUGUGAGGUUUAUGACCAAUAUGAUUGUUGUGAGCUUGGCUACAGGUGAAUAUGUAUCAAAGUAAUUGAAUCCUUCAUUUUGAUUGUAGCCUUUAGCUAUUAACUUGGCCUUGAAUCUUUUAACUGAACCAUCUGCAUGAAACUUGAUUUUGUAUAUCCAUCUUCAGCCUAUACAUCUCCAGCCUAUUGAAACUUGAAUCUUUUAAUGUUAGGUGGUAGGUCAACAAUUUUUCGUGUACUUGUUCUCUCAAGAGCUGCAAUCUCAGUUAGCAUAGCUUGUCUCAGUAAAUGAUUUUGGUUCAGUUAUGGAGUUAAGAGAUAUGACAAAAUGAGAAUGCAUGGAUAAUAACUGAGAAUAAGACAUAAAAUUUGAAAGAGGGUAAUGUGUACCUGAAGAUGAGUGGUUGGGUGCAUUAGUGAAUGUAUUACAUAUAUAGUCUUUGAGGUAUGCAUGUGGUCUUUUUGGUCUGAUGUGAUGGUCAUAGUUUGUGUGUGUCAGUUCUGUGUUGGUUUAAUUUAAUUUGGUGUGUUGAUCAUUGUUGGUGUUGGUCAGGCCAGUAUCAUCAUCAUGUUGAUGUGAAUUGGUAAUGUUAGGCGGAGGUUGGUGUUGUGAAUGAUUGUUAUAUGAUGAUGAUUUGUCGUUAAUAUGAGUAGUAGGUGGAGAUGUAUGUUGAUCAUUGGGUGAAGGUUUUGUGGGAUAAAUGUAUAUUUCCCAAUUUGUGUUAGGACUGAUGUUGGUUUGUGAGUAAGGAAUUAUGUGUUCGUGAAAUAUUAUAUUUCUAUAAAUGAAUACUUCAUUAGUACGAA